rnacentral:tRNA from 1 species
GGUGGGUUGGCCGAGAGGCGAGGCAACGGACUGCAAAUCCGUCCACACGGGUUCGAAUCCCGUACCCACCUCGA